UACGUAGGGUGCGAGCGUUGUCCGGAAUUAUUGGGCGUAAAGAGCUCGUAGGCGGUUUGUCGCGUCUGCUGUGAAAACCUGAGGCUCAACCUCGGGCUUGCAGUGGGUACGGGCAGACUAGAGUGCGGAAGGGGCAACUGGAAUUCUCGGUGUAGCGGUGAAAUGCGUAGAUAUCGAGAGGAACACCUGCGGCGAAGGCGGGUUGCUGGGCCGACACUGACGCUGAUGCGCGAAAGCCAGGGGAGCGAACGGG
rnacentral:rRNA from 1 species